rnacentral:miRNA from 1 species
UUUGUAUUACGUGCGGAAAUUGUUACCAUUUUCGGCUCAAAAAUGGUAACAAUUUCCACACGUAAUACAAA